rnacentral:rRNA from 1 species
AGUGAACGCUGGCGGUAGGCCUAACACAUGCAAGUCGAACGGCAGCACAGUAAUAGCUUGCUCUUACGGGUGGCGAGUGGCGGACGGGUGAGGAAUACAUCGGAAUCUACUUUUUCGUGGGGGAUAAAGCAGGGAAACUUACGCUAUUACUGCAUACGAACUACGGGUGAAAGCAGCGGAUCUUCGGACCUUGCGCGAUUGAAUGAGCCGAUGUCGGAUUAGCUAGUUGGCGGGGUAAAGGCCCACCAAGGCGACGAUCCGUAGCUGGUCUGAGAGGAUGAUCAGCCACACUGGAACUGAGACACGGUCCAGACUCCUACGGGAGGCAGCAGUGGGGAAUAUUGGACAAUGGGCGCAAGCCUGAUCCAGCCAUACCGCGUGGGUGAAGAAGGCCUUCGGGUUGUAAAGCCCUUUUGUUGGGAAAGAAAAGCAGCAGGUUAAUACCCCGCUGUUCUGACGGUACCCAAAGAAUAAGCACCGGCUAACUUCGUG